UACACUGCACCGUCAGUAGAAUUACCACUGUAGUGGUAAGCCACAACCUGUUUCCACCGCGUAGUAGCACCAGCCAGCAUGAACACUAAGGCAUGAGUGGCCUGGCCUUUGUGGCCAGGUAGUGUUGUGUUCCCAAACAGCCUCCCUGUUCCCAGAUGCAGCUCCACGCUAGGGGUGAUGGACAUCUCAUCCAAGUUGCCUCAUUAGAUCCUCCACGUGAGCCCGGUCACAACUGGCCCUUGGCAGUCUGGUCCCUGGAGCACCUGACGCUGGCAAACUGGCCUCUUCAUAGCUGACCCCUGACUGACUGGCUCCUGGCACACUGAUCUCUGGUGUGGUCAUCAUUCCUGACAGCUGGAGGCAUACUCCUUGACGUGGAUUUCCUCCUUUUCGGCUUAGGCCGAUGUAUAAAUAUUGUUGGAACAGCAUCUGGCCUCAACCUCAAAUUUCCUCCUGAUUUGUUGCCAAUAUAUUGGUCGUCUUCAAAGUGUACAUGUAGGGAAGCCAUACAUCCGGAACCCCUUCUCGGAUCGAUUAGAGCAUCCAAAUGCUGCACAUCCAACCAUGGGCCCAGGAAACAGAUGAAGAGGAU